rnacentral:rRNA from 1 species
ACGAAGGGGGCUAGCGUUGUUCGGAUUUACUGGGCGUAAAGCGCACGUAGGCGGUUUGUUAAGUCAGGGGUGAAACCCCGGAGCUCAACUCCGGAACUGCCUUUGAUACUGGCAAGCUAGAGUCCGGAAGAGGUGAGUGGAACUCCUAGUGUAGAGGUGGAAUUCGUAGAUAUUAGGAAGAACACCAGUGGCGAAGGCGGCUCACUGGUCCGGUACUGACGCUGAGGUGCGAAAGCGUGGGGAGCAAACAGGA